AUAUGAAUAAGCAUCGGCUAACUCCGUGCCAGCAGCCGCGGUAAUACGGAGGAUGCGAGCGUUAUCCGGAUUUAUUGGGUUUAAAGGGAGCGCAGACGGGAUGUUAAGUCAGCUGUGAAAGUUUGGGGCUCAACCUUAAAAUUGCAGUUGAUACUGGCAUUCUUGAGUGCGGUUGAGGCAGGCGGAAUUCGUGGUGUAGCGGUGAAAUGCUUAGAUAUCACGAAGAACUCCGAUUGCGAAGGCAGCCUACUAAGCCGUAACUGACGUUCAUGCUCGAAAGUGUGGGUAUCAAACAGGAUUAGAUACCCUGGUAGUCCACACGGUAAACGAUGAAUACUCGCUGUUGGCGAUAUACGGUCAGCGGCCAAGCGAAAGCAUUAAGUAUUCCACCUGGGGAGUACGCCGGCAACGGUGAAACUCAAAGGAAUUGACGGGGGCCCGCACAAGCGGAGGAACAUGUGGUUUAAUUCGAUGAUACGCGAGGAACCUUACCCGGGCUUAAAUCAUGCAUGAAUCAUCUGGAGACAGAUGGGCCGCAAGGCAUGC
rnacentral:rRNA from 1 species